CACGUAGGGCGCAAGCGUUGUCCGGAAUUAUUGGGCGUAAAGAGCUCGUAGGCGGUCUGUUACGUCUGCUGUGAAAACCCGGGGCUUAACCCUGGGCUUGCAGUGGAUACGGGCAGACUAGAGGCAGGUAGGGGAGAAUGGAAUUCCCGGUGUAGCGGUGAAAUGCGCAGAUAUCGGGAGGAACACCGGUGGCGAAAGCGGCGCGCUGGAUCCCUACUGACGCUGAGGCACGAAAGCCAGGGGAGCAAACGGG
rnacentral:rRNA from 1 species